rnacentral:rRNA from 1 species
GAGUUUGAUCAUGGCUCAGAUUGAACGCUGGCGGCAGGCUUAACACAUGCAAGUCGAGCGGGGAAGGUUGCUUCGGUAACUGACCUAGCGGCGGACGGGUGAGUAAUGCUUAGGAAUCUGCCAUUUAGUGGGGGACAACAUUCCGAAAGGAAUGCUAAUACCGCAUACGUCCUACGGGAGAAAGCAGGGGAUCUUCGGACCUUGCGCUAAAUGAUGAGCCUAAGUCGGAUUAGCUAGUUGGUGGGGUAAAGGCCUACCAAGGCGACGAUCUGUAGCGGGUCUGAGAGGAUGAUCCGCCACACUGGGACUGAGACACGGCCCAGACUCCUACGGGAGGCAGCAGUGGGGAAUAUUGGACAAUGGGCGCAAGCCUGAUCCAGCCAUGCCGCGUGUGUGAAGAAGGCCUUUUGGUUGUAAAGCACUUUAAGCGAGGAGGAGGCUACCUAGAUUAAUACUCUAGGAUAGUGGACGUUACUCGCAGAAUAAGCACCGGCUAACUCUGUGCCAGCAGCCGCGGUAAUACAGAGGGUGCGAGCGUUAAUCGGAUUUACUGGGCGUAAAGCGUGCGUAGGCGGCUUUUUAAGUCGGAUGUGAAAUCCCCGAGCUUAACUUGGGAAUUGCAUUCGAUACUGGGAAGCUAGAGUAUGGGAGAGGAUGGUAGAAUUCC